CCUACGAGAGGCAGCAGUGAGGAAUAUUGGUCAAUGGGCGCGAGCCUGAACCAGCCAAGUAGCGUGAAGGAUGACUGCCCUACGGGUUGUAAACUUCUUUUAUAAAGGAAUAAAGUGAGGCACGUGUGCCUUUUUGUAUGUACUUUAUGAAUAAGGAUCGGCUAACUCCGUGCCAGCAGCCGCGGUAAUACGGAGGAUCCGAGCGUUAUCCGGAUUUAUUGGGUUUAAAGGGAGCGUAGAUGGGUUGUUAAGUCAGUUGUGAAAGUUUGCGGCUCAACCGUAAAAUUGCAAUUGAUACUGGCAGUCUUGAGUACAGUUGAGGUAGGCGGAAUUCGUGGUGUAGCGGUGAAAUGCUUAGAUAGCACGAAGAACCCCGAUUGCGAAGGCAGCUUACUAAACUGUGACUGACAUUGAUGCUCGAAAGUGUGGGUAUCAAACAGGAUUAGAUACCCUUGUAGUC
rnacentral:rRNA from 1 species